AUUGAACGCUGGCGGCAUGCUUUACACAUGCAAGUCGAACGGUAGCAGGUUAAGCUGACGAGUGGCGAACGGGUGAGUAACGCAUCGGAACGUGCCCGAUCGUGGGGGAUAACGCAGCGAAAGCUGCGCUAAUACCGCAUAAGAUCCGAGGAUGAAAGCGGGGGACUUUAUAGCAAUAUGAGGCCUCGCGCGAUCGGAGCGGCCGAUGUCAGAUUAGGUAGUUGGCGGGGUAAAGGCCCACCAAGCCGACGAUCUGUAGCUGGUCUGAGAGGACGACCAGCCACACUGGGACUGAGACACGGCCCAGACUCCUACGGGAGGCAGCAGUGGGGAAUUUUGGACAAUGGGCGCAAGCCUGAUCCAGCAAUGCCGCGUGCAGGAAGAAGGCCUUCGGGUUGUAAACUGCUUUUGUACGGAGCGAAAAGGUCUUCUCUAAUAAAGAAGGCUGAUGACGGUACCGUAAGAAUAAGCACCGGCUAACUACGUGCCAGCCGCCGCGGUAAAAC
rnacentral:rRNA from 1 species